AUUGAACGCUGGCGGCAGGCCUAACACAUGCAAGUCGAGCGAGCGGCGGACGGGUGAGUAAUGUCUGGGAAACUGCCUGAUGGAGGGGGAUAACUACUGGAAACGGUAGCUAAUACCGCAUACCAUCAGAUGUGCCCAGAUGGGAUUAGCUAGUAGGUGGGGUAACGGCUCACCUAGUCGACGAUCCCUAGCUGGUCUGAGAGGAUGACCCGCCAAACUGGAAAGGAGACAGGGUCCAGACUCCGACGGGAGGCAGCAGUGGGGAAUAUUGCACAAUGGGCGCAAGCCUGAUGCAGCCAUGACGCGUGUGGGAAGAAGGCCUUCGGGUUGUAAAGAACUUGCAGCGGGGAGGCGUUACCCGCAGAAGAAGCACCGGCUAACUCCGUGCCAGCAGCCGCGGUAAUUC
rnacentral:rRNA from 1 species